rfam:Picea glauca, whole genome shotgun sequence.
GACCUAAACCUGGGUGAUCUAUCCAUGACCAGUAUGAAGAUUGGGUGAAACUAAGUGGAGGUCCGAACUGACUGAUGUUGAAAAAUCAGCGGAUGAGUAGUGGUUAGGGGUGAAAUGCCACUUGAACUUAGAGCUAUCUCG